rnacentral:rRNA from 1 species
GAUGAACGCUGACAGAAUGCUUAACACAUGCAGUCACUGAUUGUGGCGGACGGGUGAGUAACGCGUAAAGAACUUACCUCACAGUUAGGGACAACAUUUGGAAACGAAUGCUAAUACCUAAUACUGUGAGAGAGCUUUUGGUCCCAUUAGCUAGUUGGAGAGGUAACGGAUAAACAAUGCGAUGAUGGGUAGCCGUCCUAAGAGGGUGAUCGGCCACAAGUUUACUGAGACACGGCCCUUACUCCUACGGGAUGCAGCAGUCGGGAAUAUUGGACAAUGGCCCAAAGUCUUAUCCAGCAAUUCUGUCUGCACGAUUAAGUUUUCUGAAUGUACAGUGCUUUCAGUUGGGAAGCGGUACCAACAGAGUAAGGGACGGCUAAAUACGUGCCAGCAGCCGCGGUAAUAC